rnacentral:rRNA from 1 species
GGUUAAGCGACUAAGCUGCAAUACGCGGUUUUUCCCUGCAGCCGAGGCGAUGAAGGGCGUGCUAAUUCGCGAUAAGCUUGUAAGGUGAUAUGAACUGCGAGAACCGGCGACUGAAUGGGGGAAACCCAGUGUCACACUAUCAUUAACUGAAUCCAUAGGUUAUCGAGGCGAACCCGUGAACUGUAAACAUCUAAGUACCCUGAGGAAAAAAGAAAUCAACCGAGAUUCCCCAGUAUGGCGAGCGAACGGGGAGGAGCCCAGAGCCUGAAUCAGCAUGUGUGUGUUAGUGGAAGCGUCUGGAAAGGCGCGCGAUACAGGGUGACAGCCCUACACAAAAGCGCGCUGGGUGAGCUCGAUGAGUAGGCGGGACACGUGGGGUAUCCUGUUCGAAUAUGGGGGACUAUCCUCCAAGGCCAAAUACUCCUGACUGACCGAUAGUGAACCAGUACCGUGAGGGAAAGGCGAAAAGAACCCCGGCGAGGGAGUGAAAAAGAACUCCGGAAACCGUGUACGUACAAGCAGUGGGAGCACCCUCAGUGUGAUCAAGUACCUUUGGUAUAACGGGUCAGCGACUUAUAUUCUGCAGCAAGGUUAACCGAAUAGGAGCCGGAGGGAAACCGAGUCUUAAUUGGGCGUUAAGUUGCAGGGUAUAGACCCGAAACCUGGCAGAUUCCAGCCAUGGGCAGGUUGAAGGUUGGGUAACACCUAACUGGAGUGACCGAACCACCAAUGUUGAAAAUAGCGGAUGACCUGUGGCUGGGGUGAAAGGCCAAUCAAACCGGGAGAUAGCUGGUUUCUCCCGAAAGCGCCGGUAGCGCUCGUGAACUCAUCUCCGGGGUAGAGCACUUUCGGCUAGGGGCCAUCCCGGCUUACCAACCCGAUGCAAACUGCGAAUACCGGAGAAUGUUAUUCGCUGAGCAUACGGCGGGUGCUAACGUCCGUCGAAGAGGGAACAACCCAGACCGCUGCCGCGUCCCAAAGUCAGCGGUUGGCGGGAACGAUGUAGGCCGCCCAGACAGCCGUGGAUGUUGGCUUGUAGCUGUUUCAUCAUUUAAAGAAAAGCGCAAUAGCUCACUGGUCGAGUCGGCCUGCGCGGAAGAUGCAACGGGCUAAACCAUGCAACUGGCUGCGGCAGCGACACCUCGCGUGUUGCUGGGUAGAGCGCUGUGCUUCCGUGAAGGUGGCCUGUGAGGGCUGCUGGAGGUAUCAGAAGCGCGAAUGCUGACAUAAGUAACGAUAAAGCGGCGGUGCGCCCGCUCGCUUGAAGACCAAGGGUUCCUGGUCCAACGUUAAUCGUGGGGUAAGUGAGUCGACCUCUAAGGCGAGGCCGAAAGGCGUAGUCGAUGUCGGGUUAAUAUUCCCCGUACUUGGUAUCGCGAAGGGGACGGAGAAGGCUAUGUUGGCCGGGCGUGACGGUUGUCCCGGUUUAAGCGCGUAGGUGUGCGUUCCGUGUAAAUCCGGGUUCACUUUAAUACCGGGAGGCGUGACGACGAGGCACUACGGUGCUGAAGCAACAAAUGCCCGCUUCCGUGAAAAGCCCUAAGCAUCAAAACAUCAAAUCGUACCCCCAAACCGAUACAGGUGGUCAGGUAGAGAAUACCAAGGCGCUUGAGAGAACUCCGGGUGAAGGAACUAGGCAAAAUGGUGCCGUAACUUCGGGGAGAAGGCACGCUGACACGUAGGUGAAGUGAUUUUACUCACGGAGCUGAAGUCAGUCGAAGAUACCAGCUGGCUGCAACUGUUUAUUGCCGCCGUUAAGACCAAAACACGAAAGUGGUCGUAUACUGUGACGCCUCGCCCGGUGCCGGAAGGUUAAUUGAUGGGUCAGCGCAAGCGAAGUCUGAUCGAAGCCCCGGUAAACGGCGGCCGUAACUAUAACGGGUCCUGUUGCAGCGAAAUUCCUUGUCGGGUAAGUUCCGGACCUGCACGAAUGGCGUAAUGAUGGCCGUGCCGUCUCCACCCGGAGACUCAGCGAAAUUGAACCGCCGUGAAGAUGCAGUACCCGCGGCAAGACGGAAAGACCCCGUGAACCUUUACUAUAGCUUCUGGACACUUCGAACAUUGAGCCUUGAUGUGUAGGAUAGGUGGAGUUUUGAAGUGGACGCCAGUCUGCAUGGAAACCGACCUUGAAAUACCACCCUUUAAUGUUUGAUGUUCUAACGUGACCCGUAAUCCGGGUUGCGGAUACAGUGUCUGGUGGGUAGUUUGACUGGGGCGGUCUCCUCCUAAAGAGUAACGGAGGAGCACGAAGGUUGGCUAACUCGUCGCAUAUCAGAGGUUAGUGCACGGCAUUGGCCGACUGCGAGCGUGACGGCGCGAGCAGGUGCGAAAGCAGGUCAUAGCGAUCCGGUGGUUCUGAAUGGAAGGGCCAUCGCUCAACGGAUAAAAGGUACUCCGGGGAUAACAGGAAGCCGAUACCGCCCAAGAGUUCAUAUCGACGGCGGUGUUUGGCACCUCGAUGUCGGCUCAUCACAUCCCGCUGAAGUAGGUCCUAAAAGCGGGCGGCUGUUCCGCCAUUUAAAGUGGUACGCGAGCUGGGUUUAGAACGUCGAGACGGUGUCUGGUCCCUAUUCGCCGGGCGCUGGAGAACUGAGGGGGCUGCCAGUUCCUAGCAAUGAGAGGACCGAGUGGACGUAUCACUGGUGUUCGGGUUGUCAUGCCAGCACUGCCCGGUAGCGGCACGCAGCAGAGGCGCCGGAAAGCAUCUAAGCACGAAAUCCUGCCCCGAGAUGAAAGUUCUCCUGGUGACUUUGUAUUCCCUGGAAGGAACGUUGAAGACGACGACGUUGAUAGGCCGGGUGUGUAAGCGCAGCGAUGCGUUGAGCCAACCGGUACUAAUGAACCGUGAGGCUUAACCUU